CGGCUGAGGUCCGUCGAGGAUCUGUGGAGAUACUCAUCUGUAGGUAAUGGUCCUUCAUUAACUACUUAAGAGGAAGAUCAACAAAGGAACAUAAGGAAAAAAUCCAAUCAAUGCAAAAAAAUAACAACAGAUCUUCAGGACUUGAUAAUGUCUUUACAAACUGCUGUCUUGUUUCUCCUGAGUACUACAUUGAGGAGACAAUUGUUGAGGAGGGUGAACCAUAUGAGGUGGUCACUGAGAUCACUGACAGCACUAGCACAGAAUUCACAGGUCCUACAACCAUCACCCGUACGAUUGAGUAUGAAAAAACUUCUGGUGAGGGUGCAGCAACUCCAGUCAGGAAGAAGACGAUACGGACAAAAAUGGACACUUCCAAGUUCUUGACACCUUACCUGCAGCACAGUAAUAAAAUGAAGGACCUGUUCAGUGAGAACAAGUACAAAGAAAAAUUUAAUAAGGAAAGAGGAAAGCCAUAUGCUUCCACAAUUGAUACCCCAGAAAUCCGGAGAAUCAAGAAAGUGCAAGAGCAGCUCAGUGAGGUAGAUAUCAAAUGUUGCUCUUUCUGCAGUUCCAGUCUCUCUUUCAACAACAAAUCUCACAAUUUGGGGAACUGAAAUCCAAAGCAUCUUAAUUCUUUGUAGAGUAAGUAGGGAGAAUUGGAUCUCUGGGAAUAGGAACUCCCACAGCUGGGUGGGGAGACACCUAACCAGUGUUCAGGAGAUGAGUAUCCGUUAAAUUUUGCUCAACACCUGGCUUAGGAUAUAUUGAGGAACAUGAUGCAGCAAUCCAUGUGCUAAAGCUGACAUGAGCCUGUUGAUAAGCUGGGAAUGGUAUAACAGCAUUAGGAUGAAUUUGUGCUCUGUCUAUUGGUUUGCCAUGGUAGUGUGGCUGCUAUAUUACUUUUGGGACCGCAGAUAGUGUAUGGUCCGUGGCAAUGGACUGUGAAAUUAAGAGAUACCGAAUAGCAUGGGGAUUUCCACCUCAUUAUACAGGUGGAAGCACUCUUAGGAAGAACUCAGAUUAUAGGAUAACUGCCCCUAGCUUGGAUUCACAGCUCUUGACAUUGUCUCAAAGCUGCGUUUCUUUUUUCAGAUAAUUCACAAAAUCUGUUUGUUUCUGUAGGUAUUAUUUCUAAGCAACAAC
rnacentral:lncRNA from 7 species